UCAUGAUCAAAGUGUCACAGGCACCAGACUUUCCUGUUGCACCUCCGUAUGAUGAAGGUCCUCUUCCGUACUCGAUGGUCCAACCUCGAGGUCAAGACAGUGCAAACGAGCCAGUGCCAGUUUUUGUUUUCAAAACCACAUGCUGCCCUAAAAAGUGGACCCAAAGUAACUGUCUGGCCUUGGCAUUUAUCUUUGUCUGUCUCUUACUCCUGGUGUUGUUCGGGUUUGUUCUUUACUCAGCUUACGUUAAGAGGUAAUUUUGUUCAAAAUGAAAACUGUUAAAAAAGAUCACCAUAUCAUAGUGCAAAAAAGCCUGACAUUGCCCUACGAACCCCAAAAGAGAGUUUGUAUAAAAGGUUAAUUUGUAUAAUAAUAAAAACUGUGGAAAAAAGUUCAUUGUAUGGCCAUACAGAGAUGGUGGGUCUUAUGGGAUGUUAGGUGUUAAUGCAUGAAAAAAGUUCACCCUA